GUUAAAGGUAGCAGGUUGUACAUGGCGAGCGGGUUACUCACUGAGGGUUGGUGAUUGGUGUAAUGGAAGCCGUCUCUGAACCGCAUUUAAUGACGGAGAACUACAGGAGUGGAGAGAAAACGCAGCACUGAGCAACUUGUAGACUUCACACCCGACUAAUCCCUUCUAUUGUGUGCUGGAAGAUCGCUGGACUUGAAGCAACUCCAAAUGGUGGCCUGUUUGUCCAAAGCCCAGGCUGACCCCCCACCCCUUCAACCUUUGCAGCAAUGCUGGCAGCACUAUUUCCCAAAGACAACCUCUGGAUAUGAC
ensembl:lncRNA